GUGGGGAAUCUUCCGCAAUGGACGAAAGUCUGACGGAGCGACGCCGCGUGAGUGAAGAAGGCCUUCGGGUCGUAAAGCUCUGUCAUCAGGGACGAACGGCCGGUGGAGUGGAAAGCCACCGGAUUGACGGUACCUGAGAAGGAAGCCACGGCUAACUACGUGCCAGCAGCCGCGGUAAUACGUAGGUGGCAAGCGUUGUCCGGACUUAUUGGGCGUAAAGCGCGCGCAGGUGGGAUCUUAAGUCCAUUUUUAAAGUUCGGAGCUCAACUCCGUGAUGGGAUGGAAACUGGGAUUCUUGAGUACCGGAGAGGAAGGCUGAAUUCCCCGUGUAGCGGUGAAAUGCGUAGAUAUGGGGAGGAACACCAGUGGCGAAGGCGGCUUUCUGGACGGUGUCUGACACUGAGGCGCGAAAGCCAGGGGAGCGAACGGGAUUAGAUACCCGGGUAGUCC
rnacentral:rRNA from 1 species